rnacentral:rRNA from 1 species
AGUGAACGCUGGCGGCAUGCCUAACACAUGCAAGUCGAACGAGAUCUUCGGGUCUAGUGGCGCACGGGUGCGUAACGCGUGGGAAUCUGCCCUUUGGUUCGGAAUAACAGUUGGAAACGACUGCUAAUACCGGAUGAUGACGAAAGUCCAAAGAUUUAUCGCCAGAGGAUGAGCCCGCGUAGGAUCAGCUAGUUGGUGUGGUAAAGGCGCACCAAGGCGACGAUCCUUAGCUGGUCUGAGAGGAUGAUCAGCCACACUGGGACUGAGACACGGCCCAGACUCCUACGGGAGGCAGCAGUGGGGAAUAUUGGACAAUGGGCGAAAGCCUGAUCCAGCAAUGCCGCGUGAGUGAUGAAGGCCUUAGGGUUGUAAAGCUCUUUUACCCGGGAUGAUAAUGACAGUACCGGGAGAAUAAGCUCCGGCUAACUCCGUGCCAGCCGCCGCAGUAA